rnacentral:rRNA from 1 species
AUGAGGAUCAAUACCAUGCACUACACGGUAGUAGUACUGGUGAUCCUACUGGGAGGAGGAUCGCUGGCGAAUGCGGCCAACCAGAAGGAUGUGCUAAGGGCCUUCAUCAAAUCGAGGGCCCAGACGCGCGCGGACGGGCCUGGGGAGCCGGACCCGUGGGCCGACCCGAUCAGCAGCUUCCGCCACCUGCCCGCCAAGUGCGACGCCCCGCCGGCGGGCACCAGGGAGGCCGACAGGAUCGCGGCGCUGCCCGGCCAGCCCCCGCGCGUCAACUUCGACCAGUACUCCGGCUACGUCACCGUGAGCGAGGAGUACGGCCGCGCGCUCUUCUACUACUUCGUCGAGGCCCCCUACGAGGCCGCCUCCAAGCCGCUCGUGCUCUGGCUCAACGGCGGGCCCGGCUGCUCGUCGCUCGGCUCCGGCGCCAUGGCGGAGCUCGGCCCGUUCCGUGUGAACCCCGACGGGAAGACGCUGAGCAGAAACAGGCAUGCCUGGAACAAUUUGGCAAAUGUGAUCUUCCUGGAGUCGCCGGCGGGCGUCGGGUUCUCCUACUCGAACGCAUCGAUACCGAGCGGCGACACGAGGACUGCAGUGGACGCCUACAUGUUCCUGCUCCACUGGCUUGAGAGGUUCCCCGAAUACAAGGGCCGCGACUUCUACAUCUCCGGGGAGAGCUACGCCGGACACUACGUCCCCCAGCUCGCCGCCGUCAUCCUCGCCCUCCGCGAACUCGGUGCCACGAACAUGAACCUCAAGGGCAUCUUCGUCGGCAAUCCGCUGCUCGAUAAGUCCAAUAACUCAUAUGGAUCGUUAGAGUUCCUGUGGAGCCACGGGGUGAUCUCCGACGAGGUGUGGGCCAACGUCAACGGGCCGUGCAACUCCGGGCAGGGCAGCGGGUGCGACGACUCGUUCGAUGAGGGCGACAUCGAUACGUACAACAUUUACGCCCCGGUCUGCAUCCAGUCGCCAGACGGGAGUAUCCACCCCAGCAGCUACUUGCCAGGCUAUGAUCCGUGCAUCGAUGCCUAUAUCGACGCCUACCUCAACAAUCCUGAGGUGCAGAAGGCUAUGCAUGCUAGAACCAACACCGAUUGGUCAGAGUGCUCAGAGUCAUUGAACGGCUGGACCGAUUCCCCAGUUUCCAUGAUGCCAACCAUCGGUCGGCUUGUUGACAAGGGAUUAAGAGUCUGGAUCUACAGUGGUGACAUGGAUGAUGCGUGCCCGAUUACCGCGACGAGGUACGCUGUCAAGGAUCUCAAUCUGACCAUCACAAAACCGUGGCGUCCAUGGUACACCCCUGACAACGAGGUUGGAGGCUACGCUCAGCAAUACGAAGGAGGGUUCACAUUCGCGUCCGUGCGAGGAGCUGGCCAUUUCGUCCCUAGCUUCCAGCCCAAGAGAUCACUUGUUCUUUUAUACUCCUUCAUGAAAGGAGUUCUGCCACCUGGUGCUCUGCCACCUGGGGUC